AAAGCGAAUUGGCUUUUAGCUCUUUAAGGUGCGGGGAGGAAAGUCCGGGCAGCAUAGGGAAUGACAGCCGUUAACGGCGGCCAGGGGUGACCCUAGGGAAAGUGCCACAGAAACGAUACGUCCGAGUUUCGGCUUGGUCACGGUGAAACGAGUGCCCGCCGAAAGGCGGGUGGGAGUUCUAGCGAACUUGUUCGCGUUAACUCCCAGUGUAAGAGACCACAGUCGCGCAUGGUAACAUGCGAGAGAGGUAAACCCUGUCUGCUGCAAGGAGUGAGCUAUAUACGUUCCCGCGAU
rnacentral:RNase_P_RNA from 1 species